CGCCUCUUUUGGCGUGCGUGACAGUGCGUCACAAAAGCUACGCGGGAGUUUUGACACGCUUACCUGUGGUGAAAUGUUCAAACAUGUUGGAGAAAACAAACACUCAAGCCAGCGGUCUGCGGUUCGGAAAUACGAAGACUUCACAGUAAAGAGUCCAGGGAAGAAUGCACCUGCAAAGUAAGAGCGCAUGUUGGUUACUUUGUUUUUGUGGCGCACUGGCGUUUGGCCUGUUCAUGUGUUCUUGUGCCGGUGCUGUUACCGUCCACGUUGUAUCCUUGUCAGUUUGUGGGUUUAUCAAGACGUUUUCCUUUUAAAACUUGAUAUGGUUCACUGCCACCAAUGCUGCCUUCAAAAUGAUAAGUAAGUGCGCAUGUUGGUAACUCUGAAUUUGUGGCGCAUUGGCGUUUGGCCUGUUCAUGUGUAGGCCUACUCGUGCUGGUGCUGUGCUGUUACCUUCCAUGUUUUAUCCUUGUCGGUUUGUGCGUUAAACAAGAAACUUUAAUUUUAACCUUGAUAUGGUUCACUGUCACCAAUUCUGCUUUCAAAGUAUGCUCAAGUGUGGAUGUUUCACCUCGUUGCUCGAUCUUUUGUGAUUCUUUGCUUCUGUGCUUUGUCAGGUCUGCUGGCCCAUUACUCCGUGACAACAGUGUUGAAUGCCAUAUUGGUGUGACAACUGUUCAUUGUGUUGGUGGUGCUAUGGCUGCUUUGUGUAUUUUCUUGCUUUCACUUCUUGAAUUUAAGACCUGUGACAUGCUGUUUUGUGUUGUGUAUGAGCUCAUUCUUAUUGUGGGGUCUGCUUUUGCAUUUGAAUCCUUGUUUUGUGUACUGUGUGCACAUAGGGCUGUUGGUCUAAAAAAACAGAGUCAUAGUCAGUGGUGCUGUGUGGACUGUAUGCUGUAUAGCCUAUGGUCAAUUGCUCUCGAUAACAUUUUUUGUUGAUUGUCUUUUGAGGUCAUUUUACUGCUUUAAUUACUGUGUGAUCACUGUAAGCAGCUGAAGAAAUGGACAUGCUGAUCUAUAUCCCCCCAUGUGUGUGUGUUGCCUUGAAGCCCACAGGCAAAAAUCACUUACAAAGACCCACUCCCAAAGUGUGUUUGCUAUAGCUCUUAAAUUGACACAGUUUAUAAAAUUUAUGCCCACUAGCCCACUAGUGCCGACUAGGAGUGGGAAUCACUGGUGGCCCCAUGAUACGAUAUUAUCACGAUAAUUUGGUCAUGAUACAAUAUUAUUUCAAUUUUUAACAUUUUGCAAUGCAGUGAGUGUAAUGAUACAAUAUAUUGCGAUUUAUACAAUUUUUUCAACUGUUUAGCUAAUUUAGCAUUUGUCUUUCCUUUUACGUUUGUCUUAUUUACACAGUAUUUUAUUUUCAUGUAGCACUUCUUGCAAACUUGUAUUUAUUUGUUGUACUAACUUUCUCCCACUCUAUGAUGUCACCUCACUGAACAAUCAGUUGAUUUUAUUUUUCAUUAUCAUAGAUUUGACUUUGUAUUAGCAAUCAAUUUGAACUACCGAUACUUGGUAAAUGAGGCGAUCCGAUAUAUCACCAGACAAGCUAUCGCGAUACUAUGCUGCAUCAAUUUUUUUCUCCCACGCCUAGUGCCAACUAAUUAGUAUCAAAGUCAGCAGAUUAGCAUCUCUACCAUCUCCAGGCAUUUGGUGUGGGUUAAGAUGAAAUAAAAGCUGUUUUGGGAUGUAAAGUUAGUAUUUUGACGAAGACUGUAAAGGCAUCUGUAGGUAAUGGUUUAAUUGAUUUUGUCAUGGACAAAAGGAGGCUUGUUGUGCACAUUUUCAUUUACAACAUCAGCCAUGAACUUGUAUUGUGCUUGCUGAAGAAAUAUAUGUCCCCUUUUGUUUAAUUUAUUGUAUAGUUACUGACUGUGUGUAGGCCAACAGUUUCACUCUACAGUUGGUAGUGUAGUUGAACAAUAGGGAAAGUCCUGCGGAUAUAAAGCUAUUGUAAAUGGCUUAACCAUAUAAUCUGGUCGAUGGUUCUAGUUUAAUAUCAGGUGGAGCUGCUGUUGGCUUUAAAAAUAUUCAAACUCAUCUUUGUAUAAAACCUCAAAAUUUAUAUUUAUUGGUUGUUUUCACCCAAGACUUUUAUUCACAAUCAAAACAGUAAUGUUUCUGUGUAUUGAAGCAUGUAGACUUGUACUGAUGUGUGCCUCUUUCUUUGGUAUCCUCAUGCUACUGUGAAAUAAAUCCCUAGGAGCAUUGGUCCUCCUACAUAAUCUCUAUAUUUAUGCAUCAGUCAAGUAUUUUAAAGCCUCAUAAACUAUGAGGGUCAUGUUUUAUGGGCAGUUCACCUCCUCUGACAUAAACUCAGAUAUGUAUUAUUUGUUAAGCAUUAAAAAUAUAUGGUACAUAGAGAUUUGUUGGGGUUCAUUAAAAGAGGUGAUUGGGUAAAUGAUCUGUUUUACAUAUUUAUAGUAUUUAACCUUGUGUUAUUGAUUGUGCUUUCCUACAGAAAUGUUGAGAAAUCAUAGCAUAUGUUGUAAAUACAUGAACUUAUUUUUUCCACAGUCAAAGUCAAAUGAAAGAAGGUUCAUGUUGUGCAGCCUCAUGUGUUAUCCGAAGAUAUGGUGUUGAGUACUCUGAGGAAAACAAAAAGGUGGUCAUUGGCAUAAAACUAAAACUCUAGUUGGAACAGUAAAAACUUAAAAGAUGAUAAAACAAAAUUUUAUGAUAUGAAAACUGUUGAAAUUCUAAAUUUUAAUAAAAGUAUUAUAAUGCAAAGCAAUAUGUAAAUAUUUAAACUGAAGUUUUGUAGUGCUUGAAAAAGACCUAGAGACACAUCUCCCAACAAAUUAGGUCAGUUUGCAAAAAGUUAGUAACAUGACUGAGCAUUAAAAGUAGAUGAAUUGAAUCCAUCAGGUCACUUAAUGAUGCUUUGAAAUAAUCAGCAUCCUAUGGUAUCUGUUCUCAAAGGCUGAUGUCUCUAUCAUUAUUGUAAAUGAAAACACAUUAUUACCAUCCCCAGUGACAGCUAACCAAAUCCACAAGUGUCUCUGGAUUUCAAUUUAUACAAACUUUGUCAUAAUGUCUAAAAUAAUACAGCUUUGUGUUGCUUGUUCUGAGAGAAAUAUCAGCUUCUUUUCAAUAAGUCUAUAGCUUCACGCUCAGUAAUUGUCUUUUUUGUCAGUUUAUAAAAAAUCCAUAUUUAACAUGACUCGCUAAAAUGAACAUAUGUUAUGUGCAUGGAGUGCACAUUCAUUUAUACUUGACUGUUUUUUUUUUUACUGGUAUUCUUUGAAAAAACAAAACUUCUGAUAGCUAAAUGAAAAUCCAAAAAUCCCUUGUUGCAGUAAUUUACUGAGCCCAAUAUUUUACUGUUUUCAUUUAUUUAUUUAUUCAGUAACAUGUUACCUGAGUUCAUCAACUUUGUUAAGCUUUAGACUGGUUGACCACUAAUAAAAUAGGGUCUGCUAGAGAGGCUGCAUCUCUCAGAAUUAAAGAUGAGAAGUGGUUCACUAAUCUGUGAGAGACUGUGUGAGCAAAAGAUCGACAAUUCAGAAUAUUGUUGCUAGAAUUGUGAAAUGCCGAACUGUUUAUACAGGUUUUGGAAUAACAUAAUCUGUCAUCCAGAUAACACCUUUUUUUAGGAGAAACCUUGAAUAUUUUGCGAAACAGUGACAAACCACGUUUCAAAUGUGUUACAACAGCAUGGCUCUGCAGUAGAGUUCAUCGUGCAGGUUAAACAGAUCACCUGUUGAAAACUUUUGGUGUGUCAUGAAAGAAAAACACAGCAAGAGAGACCCAAGCUGUUGAGCAGCUGAAAUCCUAUCUAGAUGAGAAUGGUGCAGUAUUUUACGUACCAAACUCCAGUUCGACUCCCUUGUCGACGCAACCUGAAGGUUAACAGACCCCUCCCCCAACUAUUCUGAAACGUGAUACUGGUAUCACAUUCAAAUGAAAUGAGCAUUUAUUUUUUUUAUGUAGCAGUAACAUUGUUGACUUUGCAUUGUUUAUAUGUGAAUUCAUUAAAUGACUUUGAAACCAUCAUGUUCAGCUUUUAUAAACACUUGGAAUUAGUGUAGGUACAUCUCAUUCAGAAUAUCAGAUUCAUUAAAAAAUGAAAAGACUCUAAAUAUUUUCAUGUUGCUGUGCAAACUGGUAUGAAAUUGCCUGCAAGAGCAUGUCUAACCCAAUGACUACAUGUAGGGAAAAGCACACACACACACACACACACACACACACACACACACACACACACACACACACACACACACACACACACAGUUGGAAAUCAUUGUGGUUUAAAGCUUGGGCUGAGCUGAGUCCGUUUGUCUCGCAUUGACGGUGUAUUGAACCAUAAUUUUGUGUGCAACAGCAACAACAGCCAGAUCUGCACUUCUCUGUUUGAACUGUCUGCAGAAAGUGUUAGCAGUGAGAACUCUUAGAUUUUUGAGGGUAGUACUAUCUCAUGUUGGACAGAAGAGGGCAGUGUUAAACAAGGUACAAGAAAACAGUCAGAGAAGGAGGCCUACAACUAGUCAAACAAUUUAAUCUACUUUUUUCCUUCAUAAAAAUACAGAACUAUUUGGCUUUGUCAAAGAACUGGAAACCUAUUCUGGAUGAUUUUCACAGUUUUAAAGAAGUAAUAUGUUGAUAUUUUGAGAUCACAUUAACAGGACUUCAAUAACUAACCAAAAACUGAGCCUUCAGACAACUGGCCUGACACAAAGAUGUUUCACUUGUGCGUGAAAGUAAGCUUUGAACCACAUCAUAUUUAUACUACCAAGUGAUCUCUUGUAACUGUCAGUUGUUAUUGGCCUGGACUGAUACUCCCACAGUGACCUGACUGGAUGGACCAAACAUGUGUCUCAGUGUGAGGAGGAUUACCACUAUGGGAUUUAACAUAGAGGCAGGUUAUACCCCUGUCUGGGCAUGCUAGAAGGAAGGUGAGAACUACAGAGGCAGCUGGAAACACAACAUGGCAGAAGAUGUGCAGAUAGAUAAAGAGAUCUGGCUGGAUCUAGAAGAAUAUCAGUAGAUACCUACUAAACGGUAAAAUCUUGACUAUCCUUCUCCUUGGCUGAAAACUUGUGUGUCAUUGUCAUGUAAAUCCUUCAUAGUUGGGUAGAUUCUUAGUGAGAGAUCUGUACUAGUGCACAGACUAAGUCUACUUUGAAGUUGCCUCUCCAGUGUAGAAAGGUGGACGGUGUUAAAAGUCAUUCUUAAGUGCCGCUCUGAUGACAGAAAGUUGUUCUAGCGACGGGGGAAACGGUGCCAUACCUAUGUAACAUUCAUAUCAUUUGAAUUAUGAAUCAGAGUAAGGAGAAGUCUAUGUUCGGAGCUGAUGAAUAUUUAAGGCAUUGAGUAUACAGAUCAUCAUAUUGACAAAGGAAGAAUACUAAUGUCCUCUUCUCAGAGUCUGAUUAGAGGUUAAGCAGAAUGCAAACUGCAUAAUUUAUUUCCAUUCUUGCCUUUUUUUUGUACCUUUUGAUUCGCCCCUCUUCUCUCUUUUUGAUAACUUCUUUGUGCAGAGGUCUUUGCUUUUUUAAAAAACUGAAAUAUUGUAAGGUAGCAUGCAAAUGAGGGAUAAUUGGUGUCAUUUGUUUUAAGCUUGCAGAAGAAAGUUAAAGAUGGGAUUUUUUUGUGCCAAAUGUUUUAUGUGCAGUAGACCAUUUCUCAGAGAUAUUAGUCUUCCAUUUUCCAGGCCUGUGCUGCAGCAGUUGACACACUCAGAGUGCCCAGUGUCCCUACUGACACAGACAUUGUCCACAGUCUAUUAAAUUGAAUGUUGUAUUUAACUGGUUUGGAGCCAGGGCAAAGUUACACUCUUUUGUAUCAUUCUUUCUCCUCUCUCUGGUGGAAUGUGCUUAUUUCACAGAGAAAGAGAGAGAGAGAGAGAGAGAGAGCCCAUGCAGGUGAGAGUGUCUAACAGUGAGGAAAUCAAUAUGAUGUAAAUUAUUAAGAGCUCAGGAAUGCGUCUGACCCCUACUGUCUUGCAGCAGGCUGGGCUCUGAAGGCUGGCAGGUGGACGCGAGCUUGGACUCUCCCUCUAACACUCAUUAGUGGCUGGGAGCCGGGGCUCCUUGUGAGUGGGAAGGCAGGGAUCACAGCGGGGAAGUGAUGGCCCAGGCCUCUCACAUCCCCGGCUCAGCCUUCGCUCCGGCUCUUGCCAGCCUCUCCCUGGAAGCUCAUUAGUAAGUGCACUGAUGCAUAAGAGCUAGUCAUUAGCUGGGCUUUUUUUUCCGUCUUCAUCUCUCUUUCCCCCGACACCAUGUCUGAUCCUGAAGACCGGUGGCAGUGCCGGUUUAAAAGACAAGGAGAGAAGAAGUCCACAUUACCGCAGGUACUCCAGAUGUAUGGAUAUAAGACAAUGGUAGCCAUCAGAUGUGUUUUCUUUUUUCUUUCUUCGUAGGGGUAUAGGGUGGGGGUGUCAAUUUCUUCAAAUGGACUUCAUCCACAGCCCUUCAAACCAAAGAGUAAACAUUAGCGCUUGACCAGGACUUUGGCUGAGCGCCCCUUUCUUCCUCCAUGCUUGGUUUUGAUCUGGGGUAUUUGCUUUUGCUGCUGGCCAGAUCCCCCUCAGCACCUGAUGGUUGCCUAGGCUCAGAGUAAAUAAGAUCUAGGGGCCCAGGCCUCUUCUGGGGGCUGCUGGGUAAAUAAGGUCUCUAGUGUGUGUAGCGUGCCUGGCAGCAGGGUGAGCACUGGUGUGGAGGCCUCCAGAGACACGCCAUCCCCCCUUUUUCUAUAUCUAGCUGCUUAAUGCUGUUAUCCUUUCUCUCCCCUCUCUCUCUCUCUCUCUCUCUCUCUCUCUCUCUCUCUCUUUCUCUUUAACUCACUCCAUUCUCCCUCCUCUUUCACAGACACACACACACGCACUCACAUGCACGCAGACCUCCCUCUUAGCAGGCGCUCUGAUUAAUGUUGGUCAGUCGUACUCAUGAACAUUUAUGGCUUUUAAAGCACCUGCAACAGGACCCAUGUGUGUCCAACAUGGAAUUAACUUGAUCACUUGUUUGGGUAUGUUGCUUAAAUAAAAAAGUAAAUAAACCACUCCAGAUUUGUAGCGUAUAAACUAGUCGAGAUGAUCCACCUGUGAAUUCUUGAGUUUGCAGGUGGUGGAAUAUAAAGAUCCUGUAAUUAAAAGUGUUUGAACGUUGCACAGGAUUGAGCCUUUGUCUCUGAGGAUGGGUUUGGCAUUUGGUGCGUCUUAAAAUGUCAGAGAGAUAAAUGAUGAUGAUAGCACCUGUAAUAAUGUAAUUACUUUCUCAAUGGUAAUCGUCGUCGAAGCCCACAAACAAAUGGAUUUCAUAAACUUCUGAAAGAUUAAACAAUUUAACACCUGAUGUCUCCAUGACUUAUUAAAACAAAAAGUAGCCAUGGGGGAGCUGCAAAAUAUUGCCGUCAUUAUAUAGCUCAACCUACAUAUUGUGCACUUGUUCCACACCGUCUCAACAAAAGCUAACGGUGGCAACUGUUAUGUCCAAGUUUCUCCAGGAAAUAUACACAAUUCAGCAGCUCUAAUACUGUAUUUAAAGGUCUUUUCAGCGCAGGAUUUACAGAUAAAGUAUGCUAUAGUGUCAUUCAUUCCCUGUAACGAGGGAUUUGCCUUUGUGAAAGUUUACUGAGUCAAAUCUCAUCAGCUUAAUGUGAUCUGGCGCUAGCCAUGCUGGAUCCCCUUAUGCCAAUUAAUCCAGGUUGUAACUCACAGACUCCUGCUGACCGAUUCACAUCCAUUGUUGAUAGUUUUUGGCUGCAGGAGCCUCAAAAACCCUCCUUGUUAGAGCCAAAAACACCACAAGAAACCCAGCACCUCUUUCAGCCCCGUCAUAUUGUCUGUUGAUUGCCAGCAAUUAGUAAAAAAGCCAGGGAGAGGCUGAGAAAUGACAAGAUGGGCCACGGCUAUUGCGAUGCAUGGGCGUUGUUGGCUCACACACCAGCUGAAAGCCUCGACAAUGUUUGUUAACCCCGGGGGUCACGACUGAUUCACUGGCGCAGACAGAAAACAAGAUUUAUGUAGCACAAAUCAAUACGCAGUCCGACUUUUACCAUUGUGGAGCGCAGAAACAGGCACUUCUCUCUAUCAGUCGAACAUGACACUAAUGUGUUUUUAUUCCAGUUUAACCCAGCCGGUGAUGAAUCUGUUGGCAGGCCGAAAGGGAGACGGAGAGAAGCAGGCUGCCCUUGAUUAGUUGGAGAACACACGGCGACAUGCAGAGGCUGAUGCGAUGGCAUGUCACUGAGGCAGCGGCUAUUUGUCUUUAGGUUUCCCGCUGGGGGGUUGUUUAUCAGCUGUUGUGAGAGAAAUAAGCACCUGACAGUGUAUCAAUUGAACUCACGGCUGUCUUAAGUAAAUUAGACUGAAUGAAAAUGCUCCUCUUUAUUCCCACUGCCAUCAACUCUGAUUUCAUUAAGAUCGCUCGUCAACCACACACAAAGGAAGACACACACCUGGCAGAGCGCUCACUGAAAAAAACAACCUCUAGAGUAAAUUAUUGUACAGUAGAAAUCAUCCUAUUACAAGCUGGCAGGCCACUAAUGUAGAAUUUGUUUAAUGUCCGCCCUGCUUAUCCUGUUAACCAGGGAAAACUUGGAAAGUGACAUGAGUGACGGGCGGUAUUCUCUGAGCGUUGACCAGCAGGCACAAUGGAGGAGUCGAGCACGGUGCCAAGUUUCUAUUUCAGGGGGGACGCUUUCCAAUUGAUUAGGAGGCUUGUGAAACAAACUCUGGUGACAGAAACGAGAGUGUGGCCCCGGCAACUGCUGGCACGUUGCCAGGUGGACAGUCUUUCCUCGCAGCAUCUCCUUCUCUCUCUUUCUCUCUGCCUCAUACACACAUUAGCGACACAUUAACGACACCCACAAUGUGACCACUGGGAUAACUUAGCAGCAUUAUCUCUCUGUAUGUGAUUAAGCAUUGAACCAGCUUGCCCAUGUUCCUUAGUAUUCCAGCAGUGCCACCAUGCAGGCCUCUUAAAACCUACAGCCUCUGUUUAAAAUGACUUUUGAGUUUUUCCUGAAAUAUUCUUUCAGUUGCAUUAAACUUGGUCCUUGACAGCGAGUCCUGGAUUGUGCUUCACUCAAGCAUAGUUUUCAAGUACUUUGAGUACUUUCGGCCUCCUGUUCAAACUAUGUUAAUCUCUUUCUGUGAGUGUGUGGCUUGGUUAUAUUGACUGUGAGUUUGUGCAUACGUGUCCAUGUGCUUUGCAAGGGUAAGUGGGUGCAUGUGUCCGUGCAUAUGCCUGGUCUUAGCAGCAGCAGCAGCAGCAGCACCCUGUAAACCCCCGGCUUGUCUUUAUAGUGAAGUUGAUGAUUGGAUAAACAGUCUAGUGAGUGUGGAUUAUUGUAGUGGAAAAUGAAAGCAUAUGCACAAUUUGCAUUUUAAUGAGCGAGUGAGUGUUAUAAAACAAAUUAUCCCGGCUAAAGUAGCUCCUUAAAAAAAAAAGCUGUGAGUUGAAUUCAGUGAUGAAAUAUUUUCUAAACACAUUUGUAGCACUUUUGUCGUUUUAACACUCGCUUUUAGAGUUUAUUUGAAAUUGAUUGAAACAGAUAAAACGGUCGGUAUAUUUAGUUUAGGUUUACUGUAUAUUUAACACACACCAAGUCAUGUGUUGCAUCCCACUCUUUGCAAAUCUGCUUUAAUUCUGACACAUAUAAGGAAGCCAUGCAUAAAAUUUAUGCAUGGCUGAUGCAAAGUUCAGUAGGCCUGUGCCAAACAAAACGCUGUUCAAUUAAAAGGGAAGUAAUGGCACCCUAUAUAAUAAAGGAGAUCUGUGCAUACAUAAAGUGACAGAGAAGCAAUGAUGGCUCAUUCACGUCAUGCUAUGUAAUUUAGUUAAUGCAUUUCCCUCUUGCUCUUUAAAACACUUGCACAUUCAAAUUUGCCAUCAUAAUCUCUAUGACAGAGGACAUUAAUUAUGUUCGUCGGCUGAUCGCUGUUUCUUCACAACAUCUCUGAUUAAAAUUUCACACAUUGUAAUGAUGUGCUUCAGAGCUAGAAGCUGUGAAAUUUACUAAGCAGUCAGCCGGCUUGAAUCCUUAUUCUUUGGAGCGCACACACACCAACACACACAAAGAAAACACAUAUUACACAAAUCAAAGCUGUUAAGUGCUUGAGGAAAAGCUUUAUUUACAUGCAAAUGGUGAUACAUCUUAGCAACUUGUUCAUUAAAAUACCGUGCAAAUGAGGGGAAACAACAAAAGCAGUAACUUCUCUCCAGAUAUGUGGGUUCAAAUCUCAUAUUUGGGAAGUUUAAUUAAGCAAUAGAUUAUAUUUUGAAAGGAGUGUUCACUUUAAUGAAUCCCAAGAGAGCGUGGAUAAACACCGCAGCGCUAUCAAAGCAUCCAUCUCUUUAAUGGAUGUGAAAAUUAGGGAUGUAAAUGGAUUUGAGCCUUUAUUUUCAUUGCUCGUGGGAAUAUUUAGUGGAUAAAGACGACACUUAUGUAACCUACAUUGUACGUAUGCUUUCAUUUUUGGAUGCAGCAUGAAUAGUGUUUUGAGUGUUUUCAAGGACAAACACUAAACACUUAUUUAAAGUGUGCUUUUAACAGCUGAAUUUGUCAAACGAAAUGAAGCAAGUAGGCCCUUUCUGCUUUAUUUAACCUCAUUUCUAUGUGUAUCUUUAGCAUUAUUAACCACCUCUGAUGCAGUAUCUAAGUCUGUCUCCUCUGGGAGUGUACCUGAGGGAAAAAAAAACACUGGUCAUUUUAGCUUUUUCAAUAAGAUGUUUGCCUGAGUGUGCCUCUAUAUAUCUGCAAUCCUGGAAACAGUGCAGAGGCAGUGAACCCUGGUACAUUGUGUGAUGGAGGAGUGCUACGUGCCCAACAUUCACCUCGCAGAAAGCCGGCUGUUGUUUUUCCCUGUAAUGUCCAUUUUAUUGGGAAUCUCAGCGAGCCUUCACACUACCUGCUGUGCUCAGCAGUGUGGAGAAGCCGGGGCCAGUGGAGUGGUGGUCAGUGCCUGUCAAUCACAAUCACAAGGAUCAGUUAGCAGCCAUCAGUCUGAGGAGCCAUACCCAGAUGUUGCCUGUCUCCCAAUCCUCAUGUUCCACCUCCAUAGGCUGCCCUUUUUCUAUUACUUUUUCUCUGAGAUUUUUACUUUUCACACCCUAAAGUUCACACCAUUUUAUUGUUUCAUUACAUCUUAAUUUAUCGCUUAAAAAUGUAUUCACUCUGCUGAAAAAUGAUGAGUUAUUUUCAACCUCGAGGGAGGCUGUUUGUUGCUGUGUUUGUGUCUAUAAAGGGGAGGGCUGACAAUGGGGGAAGCAAGCAGUCAGAGGUGAAAGAAAAGGAACACCACAAGCAGCUGGAAAACAAACACAAAACAUUGAUUAUAUCAUCUUUACAGACACCCCAAGCUCACCACGCUUUGAUGUUUACCUGACACCGAAGUAAACAGCGCGUUGGACUGUACACUUCUACUCUGCAUUUCAUUUUGCCGCCUGUGCCCCCCGGUAUACGUCCGUCUCUGACCUGUUCCCGCCCCUAAUUUCCACCAUCACAUUCAGAGCAGACCCGCCAACGGUCAGCUUCAUUACAGCCAAUAACUUAAAUCACCUCUCCUGUGUUUCCCGCCAGUUUGCAGCUCGGUCUCCUCUGAAUCGCAGUCAUUUAAAUGUUCCUGUGCUGAUUGCUGGGUGCAGGUGGUAAUACAUUAAGGGACUGAGACGGAGUGCUGAAAGACCUUUAUCCAUUUGCGCUAAGUUUCCCCUCACAUUCGAAGGCAUGUCGGUCUAAUUAGGGCCAAUGGUUUUGACUGCAGCCAUAUUCAUAUGGGACAGCUCACUUUAAGUUGUACAACAAGGUGAUUCUACAUCCUAUAUACUCUACCAGUGUAUAGAUUAUGCUGCAGUCUGGGGAGUUUCGAGAUGAAAUUGUACAUUAAUGAAAGCGGAGAAUGGCUGUGGAAGAGAAAUACGACAGGGUUAUUGCUCUUUUUCUCUCUGUUAUAACUAAAAAGUCUCAGAUCUCAUGAGAGGUGAAGAUUUAUGAGGGUGUAAAAUACUUCUGAUGAUGUCUCUUUGUUCUGUGGCAGCUAAAAUGAAGAUGUGUUUAAGUAGUUACAUCAGGAAAUCUAUUUACAUAACACCUAAAGAAACGGGUGUUUCACACCGUCUGUCAGAUCAAAGGCUCCGGUUCAAUUUUCUGAAAAGAACUUGUCUCUGUGUUUGAACCCCAGUGAGUUCCCAACGCUGUCUCUGUCUCUCAAUGAUGAGCUCCUCCAGCAGGUAAAAGCUUCAGAAAGCCCUCGGUCCAUUUCCAUUCUAGCUUCCAGCAGUGUGAGUGCUGUGACAGCCUCUUGGGGGCAAAGGGAUUAUUGAGAUCAGGCCUCCCCCAGCUCUAUGCCUCUGGCCCAGCCAGCACAGGCCGGCCCAGUCAGUUCCUCCUCGAGCCCCCCGGUGCCUUACAGAGCAGCCCACCAGGCGCACAGAGAGCAAAGAGGCACCAGGGACCCCUCUAAUUGUCCAUGCUUUGGGCGGCUCUCUGGCAAGCCAGCAUGAAGAGGGCCCCCGGUCCCAAGGCUGUCCCACUGCUCCCCACUCAGCCCCUCACUCACAGAUACUGAGGACGAUAUAUAUCUGCUUUGAGGCUCUGCGUAUCUGAGGCUGUCCUAUAGUACAGCUGGAAAUGUGAAUUUCUUUGAAAGGCUGCUUUCAACAUGGUCAGUGCUUGUGUUAUAGCAGGUCAUAGUCUGAACUGCUCAAGUGAUCCAUAUGAUGAAGAGUUUAAACCUGUUCUGAACUUUUAGUCAGUCUUUCUUUCUCGACUCAUGCAGUUUGGGUUGUUGGUUUUCUUUUAAUCUGGGGAUUUACGGGGCAUUAGAAAUACUGUUUCAUUAAGGGCGAGUAAAGUCAGCACUAACAAUAAAUCUGUAUUAGCCUUUUUACUUUGUUUGUCUCGUAGAGAUAAUUAGAUAUUUUCCCUUAGUUGUUCUGAAAGAUAAUGUGAUGUGGGGGUCUUUUAUUUCCAAAAAGAUUUGAUCAUAAUAAACAUACAAGAGUAUUUGUGUGAAGGACUGCUGUAUACACACUCACCGGCCUCUUUUUUGCAUUAAAAAUAUGUUACUACACAAAUUAAAGUCAGCUAAUUCAUUUAAAACCCCGUUUGCAAAGUCAACACUAAUCUGAACAUUAUUGUCCUUGGACAGGCAUCAUUUCCAGUUUGUGUUAGAAUAAACAUAUUUAGGUAGGACUGUGAGCACUGACGCAUUAAUCCUAAUGCAAUUAUAUGUUCUUUUUUUCCAGUGACAUACAAUUUUGACCCUUUUGGCACCCCUUACUUAAGGGGCUGUAGGGUCUUUGUACACUUGCUUUUGAUGUGGUGGAAAAUGACGACACAGUAUUGCAGUACAUUGAUGCCACGAUUCAAAAUAGUGGGAUUGUAAACUUGAUUAGAGAUGUUAUAAGUGAAAAUGAACUGUUGAAAUACAAGAUUUGAUUUUAUUGCAGAAAUAUGACAACUGUAUUUGUAGACAUGUAUUUGUUUCAAGUGAUGGAGGACAGUUAAACUCAAGGUGUCCAGUAGAAACUGUGAAAAAAGACUGACUGCUCACUAAUAUCCUUAUAUACUAAGAGAAAUAUAACCAGAGUUUGAUAAACUUAUUUAGACGGGUAAAUUCAUCUGAGGGUUGAAUUCUCUUUUCCUGCUCAAGUGUGGUAGAAUCACUGAAUUUCAGACUUGUACAGAAGAACUAAAAAACCCUCAAAGUAAGUCGGCAACAAUAUUUGCAGCCUUGGUUGAAGCUUUUCACUCAGAACUUUAAAACAUUCAGGUUAAAAAAGUUUAGCUAUUUUAAUAAUCUGUCUUAUUACAAACGAGAGGGAUGAGAAAACCUGAAAGCUUUCAAUCUCAACUCAGAUUGAAUUUAGAGACAACAAAUUGUCCAAACUGUGACUGGAUCCAGGCGCAUUGUGAAAUGUCUUUGUGCUAAGAGAAGCCUUAACACAGACAGAUAUUUAUCUACUUUUAAUGUUAGAUCUCCUGGAGGAGUUUUUGGAAGUAUGUUUCAAAAGGAGCUGCUGUUAUGUGAGAGUUUGAGGUUAUUUGCAAGGCCUCGGCUGCUGGGAGCUGGAUGAGGACUGACAAGGCCACCCACACAAAGGGAAGGGUGUUCCUCUUGUCUGGCAACGGGGGUGGGGGAUGAACAUGCACAACCAAAUAAAUAAUAAGCACAUAGAUACCUUAAUAUUUGCUGCUUUUUACUCCUCUGCUCAUGUAGUCUUUCCUGUCAUCUCACUAUAUGCGGUGUCUCUUCUUCCUCACUGAAAAGCAUCCAUGCAACUGGGAUCUCUGCUGCUGACCUCUGAGAGGUGUUCACAGCGCCGGUGCAUGCAUCAAAGAAUUUGUUAUGUGUUUUAAUUACGUCUAUAUGUGGAGGAGAGGGUUUUUGCAGCAGUGCCCUGAUGAGGCAGUAGUUAAAAGAUGUUGAAAAUCUGUUCCAGCUUGUGUGCUGCUUUCUCGCUGCAUGACCAACCACAUGGAACUAAAAGCAAUUAUGAGUCACAAUAACAUUUAGGUAAGCAUGCCAUUUCUGAGAUUGACAAAACAUCUCAAUUAUUGUGUAUGUAUUAGCAACUCAUUAGCAACAUACAUUUACACAAUAUCCUCAGCCUUUUAAUUUAAGCUGUUUUAUUAUUCAGCCACCCCUCCCCCACUCUCACAUCUAAUAAUACUGUGACAGGAAAUUAUUUGUCUUAUUCAUAAAUUCAUCACACAGUAAAAUCUCUGUCCGCAGUACUUUUGAUAUGUUAUAAAAAUGGUGUUUGAAUGUGUCCUGCUGUAUUUGACUCUGGCACACAGAAACAAGCCCAAAUGUGCAUAUUGUGUAACCGCUGUAAAAGUUGUGUGCUCAGUAAAUAGGUGGUUGGGCAUGCUGGUCAUGCCAGUAACAGCAAAGCAAAGGAGAGGCAGACAAUAGCCCCUAACUGGACUGUGACAGGGUAAUUACUGCGCGCACAUAAUAAAAUUCUCUUUACAUAGGUCACUCGGAAAGUGUAAUUAAAAAAGAGUUAUAGAUUAUUUUUAUUGAAGCAAUUAAACCAAAAAGCAAAAAGUAAUUAAGUGUGGAGGUAAUAAUAGUGUUGGUCAACAGCAUUUGUUUUUGAGAGUGGGGGUUUGUCAGGCUCGCCCCGUUAAUGCAACACACAUCCUUUAAUUUACACUCCAGCGUUUAUUAUGUUAAACUGUUUUUUUUUUUUACUGUGUGACAAUUAUGUUUAUAAUGCCAGAAAACUGAGCAGGAUUUAAUGAAAUCAUUAUCAUGUGUGAUAAUUGUGAGUAAAUGCUAGAUUUGAAUUAUCAUUUCCCUCUACGUGCUGAAUUAAUGAAUCGUUACUAUUCAUACUACUGGUUUAUAAUUAUGUUAAAUUGGCCGUCUUAUCAGCAGUCAAAGACUUGGGAUUAUCAGCGUCUUGACUGUGUGGACUGUGCCAAAUUCCUUGUGGAUAUCCGCCUGUUCCCUGCACAAAGAGAAAAGGAGAGAUAAUAUUGGGAGGUUAAACUCCACAAUUUUCUCUUAAAAGAUGUAAGGAGAGCUAUUGCACAAAUGCACUCCUGCUUUAUGAGGGAAAUCAGACAGACGGGUCCGUGGGGCAUUAACAUCCACUUGACUUUGAGUGCAGCCCGAUUUUACAAGCCAACACAUACAUGACGCUUACACAUCAACUGUGUUGAUCUCUGCAAUUGUGUCAGGUAACUGAAUUCAGAUGAUAUGUUAAUGUGGAGGCGAAAUAUGUUGCCCUAGUUAGCAUAUGGGCCACUUGCAUUUCAGACUCUUAUUAUCAGCCAGGCAGCACGUUUGUGAAAAUCACAGUAAUAAUCUAAUUCUCAGGUAGGGAAAAAAAAGCAUCAUUUAAUCCAGUGGGGUCAAAGACAAUUUAGUGAAAAGAUAUUAGGGUAAACGGAUUUAUUAGUAAUUUCAAGACGUGAAUGAGGAUUUCUCUUUUGUGUCAAUAAAAGACAUAGAUUGAAUAUUAAAGAAAUAGUAAAGAACAUUUAUUAAUAAAGAAAAUAAACAAAAAUAGAGGUUUGCAAAAGCUUUGUUCUGGUAAGUCUUCCUGCACAUUUCUGUUCAAAUAGAAAAGCAGGUUUUUACAGCUGAACGACACAGAAAUCUAUGAUUUUCCACAGGUGUCUAAUCACUACUAGAUCCAUUCCCCCUCCCCCCACCAUUAUUUCUCCUGUUGAAAUCUGGGGUGUCACCUAUUAUGAGUAAGAAAAAGAAGUGAUAAUGACACUUCACAUGUGUCCUUUGAUGGCUCUAUAAAUACCCAGGUAACCAUGAAAACAUACAGAAAGAGCUUCACAUUCAACAGCAUUAAAUACCACCCAUGAUUUUCAAAGUAAAGGCACAUGAAUGAACACAUCAGACUGCAGGCGCAGCGGUUAGUUACCAUUUGAUGUUAAACUUUCCUUUUGUUGUGGCUCCUGUCAUUGGGAAUGCGAACAGCAGAGGGCAGCUUGAAUGCAUAAAUACAAACUAGACAGGGUUGCAUCUCUCAGUCAUCAAAGGCACGCCACUCAUUUAUGUCUCCCACCCAGCUCAGCUCCUGUCUGACAGGCGGCUGGACCACAGAGAGCCGGGAACGGUGUGUGAUCAGCAUCAGUCUCUUUCACAGUAAAACUGAAGGGACAUGGCAGUAGAGUGACAGGUAACUGACAAAACAUCCAAAGUAGCGAGAAAUGAUUUGAAAAACCCGUGUCAACUUGUAAGUCACAUAACAACCAACUAGUAUUUAGUCCUGUGUCUUCUCCUGCAGGUUUAAAAGAGAGUUGCGGCAGCAGAAAAACCCCUCAAAGACAACACUCUGUGCUGUUUUUAUUGUUAAACCUGUGUUCUGCUAUUGUCUGCCCUCCCUCCUGAGCUCCAUCUCUCUCUCUCUUUCUCUCUCUCUAACCCUCUCUUUCUCUCUCUCCGUGGCUCAAGAUGAAUCUACCAGCAUGUGCCCGUGCUCUUCAUCACUGUCAGGUGCCCCGUGGUGGUCCUCCUCCUCUUUCUCAAACUGGGCACCAACCGCUGGCUGGAAUUAUUCCUCACCUCCAAAAACUCUCCCCACUGUUUUCUAAAUAAAUGUGGCUGUAGUAACCGAGGAGUGUUGCUCAUCCAUCUUUGCCGCGCUGCUGUGCAGAGUGUGUGCUGUUUGCUGAACUAGACAGAGAGCCUAAUAAGCCACACAGUCAGUGUAAAGACACACGGAGGAUAAUGUAACGUAAUGUAUUAGAUUACAGUGAUGCCUGCUCUUCCUCUGAGUCUUGGAGAAAACAUUUGUCUUAAAAGCGUCUGAGACAUGUCUUUUAAAUGAUUUAGCAUUCAUACCUGAACAUCACAUGAAAUCAUUGAAUUACUUAUAGAGUUAAAUUAGAUAUGGUAUCAGUAUUGGUUUGGUAUCAGUAUCUGUAUCCAUGUUGAUAUUGUUAUCAGUGUCCACUUUGGUUCUGACUCCAGUAAGGGACAAGUAUGCAAGGCAAAGCACUGAUUGGACACCAUUAUUUAUUAACCUCCCCUGCUACACAGAAAAAUAAACUAUUUUAGCUAAACUGUUAUGAGAUGAUAAUAAUAAUAAUAAAACAACAGUGGUUAUGCUUGUCAAAGUCUGCAAAUGUUAGA
rnacentral:lncRNA from 1 species